rnacentral:rRNA from 1 species
AGAUCUGGUCCCUGUCUUAUUAUCAGCUCUUCCUAAACUUACACAUGCAAGUCUCAGCACACCCGUGAGGACGCCCUUUCUUCUACCCCAGAUUAAGGAGCUGGUAUCAGGCACAAAAAUUGCCCAUCACACCUAGUCCCGCCACACCCCCAAGGGUUCUCAGCAGUGAUAGAUAUUGUUCAUAAGCGACAGCUUGACCCAAUUAUUGGAAAAAGAGCUGGCCAACUCGGUGCCAGCCGCUGCGGCUAAACCGACGAGCUCAAGUUGAUAAACUAUCGGCGUUAAGCGUGAUUAAAGGACCUCCACAAUUAGAAUAAAACUUACACUUAGCUGUAAUAAACUUGCUGUAAGGAAACCCAAAAACGAAAGUUAUUCUAAUCAACUUGAAUCCACGACAGUCGGA